ensembl:rRNA 5S_rRNA 5S ribosomal RNA
ACUUACGGCCAUACCACCCAAAGCAAGCCCGAUCUCGUUUGAUCUCGGAAGCUCAGCAGGGUCGGGCCUGGUUAGUACUUGGAUGGGAGACCGCCUGGGAAUACCAGGUGCUGUAAGCG